rnacentral:rRNA from 1 species
UACGGAGGGAGCUAGCGUUGUUCGGAAUUACUGGGCGUAAAGCGUACGUAGGCGGUGAUUCAAGUCAGAGGUGAAAGCCUGGAGCUCAACUCCAGAACUGCCUUUGAAACUAGAUCGCUAGAAUUGCGGAGAGGUGAGUGGAAUUCCGAGUGUAGAGGUGAAAUUCGUAGAUAUUCGGAAGAACACCAGUGGCGAAGGCGGCUCACUGGACGCAUAUUGACGCUGAGGUACGAAAGCGUGGGGAGCAAACAGG